GCAUAUCAAUAAGCGGAGGAAAAGAAAAUAACAAUGAUUCCCUCAGUAACGGCGAGCGAAGAGGGAUAAGCUCAAAUUUUAAAUCUGUUGGGUUCCACUUAACAGAGUUGUAUUUUGAAGAAACGUUUUCUGCAUCCAGGAUUAGCCUAAAUCCUUUGGGAUAAGGUAUCAUGGAGGGUGAGAAUCCCGUUCAUGGUUAAUCUUAAGGAAGCUCUACGAUACGUUUUCCAAGAGUCGAGUUGUUUGGGAUUGCAGCUCAAAAUGGGAGGUAAAUUUCUCCUAAGGCUAAAUAUUGGCGAGAGACCGAUAGCGAACAAGUACCGUGAGGGAAAGAUGAAAAGAACUUUGAAAAGAGAGUUAAACAGUACGUGAAAUUGUUGAAAGGGAAACGAUUGAAGUCAGUCAUACCAACGGGAAAUCAACCUUUUGAGCUCGGUCUCGUGGGUUUUGAAGAGUUUCAAAGCCUUCGGAUUCGCGGGAUUGGGAUCUCUUGGUGUACUUUUUCGUACGGUUAGUCAACAUCGGUUUUGAAUGUCAUAAAAUGACUGGAGGAAUGUAGCUUCGAUCUCGUAUUGAAGUGUUAUAGCCUUUGGUAGAUGUGAUGUUCGAGACCGAGGAUUGCAACGGAUACCCUUCAGGGCUAUUCGUCUGAUCUCUGAUACGUUGCCCUGAUGUUGAAAGCUUGCUUAUGAUGUUAGGGUAUUACGGUCAAAAGGUUAGAACGAAUUACAUUCGUUAAGGAUGUUGACGUA
rnacentral:rRNA from 1 species